AGAAAACCCAGCUCUUCUUUACAAACAGGCCGUCCCUCGCAAUGUGGGAAUGUCAGGGCCUCUCGGUGAAGUGAGCAAGAGAGAAGAGAAACAAGAUGCAGCUGAGGUGGGGACGCUGUGUUUUCUCCGAUAUUACUAAGCAACCGUGUCCUAAAAUCUCCGGAGCCAGCGACAGAACUUUGUUUACCAGGAAGAAAGCACUUGAAAAGGAGAAUAUUUGGCGGAAAUGCGCUUUGGGAUUAGCAGCCACAAGGAGGGGAGAGGAAUGGAAUCUCAAACUCGUUUCCAGCUCCGUCAAGUCCCCAGUCCAUUUCCUGCCAUCGCUAGGACUUCUCACUUUCUUUACGCCCCACCCUAACCUCUGCUUGUCGUUCAGUUGCUUAGUCAGCCCCAUGGACUGCGGCACAACAGGCUUCCCCAUCCUUCACUAUCUCCCGGAGUUUGGUCAGACUCAAGUCCGUUGGGUCGGUGAUGCCAUUCAACCAUCUCAUGCUCUGUCGGCCCCUUCUCCUCCUGCCCUCUGCAUGAAGGGCUAAAGUGAAUGGUGCAGAAAGUCCAGCAUGGGAGGGGACCAAGUGAUGCAGAAGAGGGGUCGCCCGUCCGCAGUGGAUAAACAGGCCCCUGAAUUGUGACCCCUAGCUGAAUGCUUCUGAAUAAAAGUUUCAGGACCACUUGAUCGGCUAAUGUG
rnacentral:lncRNA from 1 species